UGUGUGUGUGUGUGUGUGUUUAAUUCUUUUAAAGAAAAUCAACAAAAAAUAAUGAAUUAAUCAACCAACGGAAUACUUUGACAUCAAGAUUUAAUACAAAUAGGAGCAGUGAACGAUAUUCAAGAAAAACAUAUAUUGAGGCUUCAAAAUCAACUGUACCUAACACUAAUGGCACCUUUCCCAUGACAAUUCCUAGCUGUAUGUCAGAACCCUGAAGAAGGAAAUGAGGAGGGAAAUUGUAAAUAAUAGUACCUGAAUUUUAGCUCCUCUAUACAUGAUAACACCUGGUAUGCAAGUCAGGGUGGUAAAUUCAUAGGAAGCAAC
rnacentral:misc_RNA from 1 species